UACAGAGGUCUCAAGCGUUUGUUCGGAUUCAUUGGGCGUAAAGGGUGCGUAGGCGGCGCGGUAAGUCGGGUGUGAAAUCUUGGAGCUUAACUCCGAAACUGCAUUCGAUACUGCCGUGCUUGAGGACUGGAGAGGAGACUGGAAUUUACGGCGUAGCGGUGAAAUGCGUAGAUAUCGGGAGGAACACCAGUGGCGAAGGCGGAGACCUGGGGGAGAUAUUGACGCUGAGGUGCGAAAGCGUGGGGGAGCAAACAGG
rnacentral:rRNA from 1 species